rnacentral:pre_miRNA from 1 species
AGGAGGAACAGCCCCAGUGGUGGGGCCAGCUCUGGAAACCUGGAUUCAGCCCCCGCAGGAACUCCGGAGCUCUCCUCUGCAGGGCCUGGAGGCUCCGGGGCGGG